rnacentral:ncRNA from 1 species
GUGCAUUUAUCAGACCAAAAACCGGCCGCGUCUUCGGGCGCGUUCGCCUUGGUGACUCUGGAUAACUUUGCGGAUCGCACGGUCUAGCACCGGCGACGGAUCAUUCAAGUGUCUGCCCUAUCAACUUUCGUCGGUACGGUAUUUGCCUACCGAGGUUCUUACGGGUGACGGGGAAUCAGGGUUCGAUUCCGGAGAGGGAGCCUGAGAAACGGCUACCACAUCCAAGGAAGGCAGCAGGCGCGCAAAUUACCCAUUCCCGACGCGGGGAGGUAGUGACGAAAAAUAACAAUGCAGGACUCGUUCGAGGCCCUGUAAUUGGAAUGAGUACACUUUAAAAGCUUUAACGAGUAUCCAUUGGAGGGCAAGUCUGGUGCCAGCAGCCGCGGUAAUUCCAGCUCCAAAAGUAUAUAUUUAAGUUGUUGCGGUUAAAAAGCUCGUAGUUGGAUUUUGGGCGCAGGCGGCCGGUCCGUCGCAAGGCGUGUACUGGACGUCCUGGCCUUCCCUCCGGUUCUCCGCCGGUGCUCUUGACUGAGUGUCGGCGGCGGCCGGAACGUUUACUUUGAAAAAAUUAGAGUGUUCAAAGCAGGCUCUCGAGCCUGGAUAAUGGUGCAUGGAAUAAUGGAAUAGCCACUCGGCUCUAUUUUGUUGGUUUUCGGAGCGCGAGGUAAUGAUUAAGAGGGACA